rnacentral:rRNA from 1 species
UGCCAGCCGCCGCGGUAAGACGGAGGGCGCAAGCGUUGUUCGGAAUUACUGGGCGUAAAGCGCGGGCAGGUGGUCCGUUAAGUCGUUUGUGAAAAUCCGGGGCUCAACCCCGCGAAAUGCAGACGAUACUGGCGGACUAGAGAUCGGUAGAGGCUAGCGGAAUUCCUGGUGUAGCGGUGGAAUGCGUAGAUAUCAGGAAGAACACCAGUGGCGAAGGCGGCUAGCUGGGCCGAGUCUGACACUCAUCCGCGAAAGCGUGGGGAGCAAACAGGAUUAGAUA